AACUAGUGGAAUGAGAAAUUCUAUAAAAAUCAAAAUAGCAAUAAAAUACUUAUAUCGUUAUCAAUAACUAAUCUUAUUAAUCACAACCUCAAAUAUGACUGAAUCCAGAAAGAACAAUUCAAAAAGAUCCCAAAAAAAAUAAAGAAGGCCAGACAUGAAAGUAAUUACAUGAAUCAUAAUAUCAAGAAGAAAAACAUAGACAAAUAGCAAAACUUUUGCCUAAAAUGAUAAGACGCUUCUAUCAUUGUACUAAUAAUAAAGUUAAUUAGAAGUUA
rnacentral:misc_RNA from 1 species